rnacentral:rRNA from 1 species
ACGGCCACACCAUGCUGAAUAUACCGGUUCUCGUUAGAUCACCGAAGUCAAGCAUCAUUGGGCGCGGUCAGUACUUGGGUGGGUGACCACCUGGGAACACCGCGUGCCGUU